AUUUAAGUCUCCACAAAUACAUGUAUUUUGGCAUGAGCUAUUUUUUGGUUUUUGUCUCUCCACUAUGGCAGUGGGAUAGCAUGCAAAGGAAACCAUGAAGCUUCCUUAAUCGUGAGAAGAGUGUCUGUACCAGUUUGCAUAACCACUGACAAUGUAUGGGAUUUCCAGUUGUUCCAUAUGCUUAUCCCCACUUGACCAUUCUCAAGACCUUGGAGAGGACAAUGACAAGAAUUUGUGUAGAACGAUAACUGACUGAAUACUCAGAGUGAAGCUGUUAAUUGGAGAUGCCAAUUGACUGAGAGACUAGAGUAGAAAACCUGCCUUAAUGUGGACAACAAAAAUGCAGAGAUCAGAGAAGAGGUAAAUGGGAAAGGGAAAAUAAAAAAACAAGAGAAGGAGGAAGGCUUGGAUUCCUCCAUAGUAUGGAUUCCUCCAUAGCAAUAGAACCCAAAUAACUUGGAGCGAUUUCUUCUUCUGUGACUUUUAUUUCUCUUGUGGAGAUUGAUAUGUGUAGGUAGCUAUUUAUAACGAGGAAUACUAUUAU